GUUCGUCUUAAAUGUCUUUAGCUAAAAACAGCGUCCUGUCCUAACAAGUUUUUCUCUUUUUCUCUUCAUCUUUCUGCAAAUCCUUGCAUGUUUUCUACACACAUGAUUGUCACCAGGGAUGUCCUCUCUUUAUUCACGUUCCUAGCAGUAGGUGUAAAAGUAAUAAUGUUCCUGACGCUAAAAGGUUAGAGAAUUUAAACAGCCUUUUUUAAAUCCUUAUCUAUCUGUGUAUGUGUGUGCACGGGGGCAGGCGAGUAACAAUCUGGGGUCAGUUCGACUCAAAGGUCAAAAUUUAAAUCGCGCGGCAAUUUAUUCAGAGGAUCAACGUGUUUCUGCCCGUGUACACGUGUCUGUAGACGCGGCUCUUGUGGUUCACAAAGACAAAGUUUACUGUGGCCACCAGAACUGGAAAUACAAUGUUCUUGUAACAAACUUCAUCUUUAAAGGACUUCGCUGCCUGAUGUCUCGGCCUCGCAAAGUGUUCUCCACCCCCUGCAUGUAGAAAUUCUACCUGCCAGGUGCGGGGCAGCUGUGACAAGAGUAACACAUCUGUUAUAGACUGUGUAUUUCCUGUCAGCAUUUCCCUCUUUCAUGCCAGCAUCAUUAAGGAGCCUGAAUUUUCUCCUGAAAUUAUAAUAACGUGCUCACCAUGUCAGACGGCAGAAAAAUUUGCAAAGCUAAUCACUCUCAAGUUCCCUGAGUCUUUGACACAAGGCGAGAGGUGGACUUUCGAGGUCAAGAGGUCAGCGGACUCUGUAGGGUCCUACACGUGCUAGGGCUUCCAUGGACCUGCAAGUCUUCAUACUACACAGUGCAACAUCACAAACACUUCCAGACAAUGUUCUCUUCCACUAGCAGAAGAGAAUAACACUCCAGACUCAUCCAGUAAAUUGCUGGCAUUAAUUUCAAUUCCCGCGGUCAUCGUGGUUGUCAUCCUUGUGCUGCUUGUAUUGUACAGACGACGAGUUUUCAAACACAAGAGACAAUCAGUGGAGAUGUCUGGCGAUCAGAAUCAUCUCCCUUCGCCGACAGAAAGUUUGCCACUGAAAGGCCAAGAUUCACAAGACCCUGACACCACGGGCGAUGGUUUGACUAAAACAACAGGAACUACAGCUACAGUCGCUGUAAUUAAGAGUUAACCUGUGUGUGUGUGUGGUGUAGUGUGAUUUUGGUGUAGUGUGUGGUGUAUUGUAUGAUGUGUGUGUGUGUGUUUGGUGUAGUGUGUGUGUUUUCAAACUGCCAUCCCAUUCCAGUCAUGCAUGUGUCCUGCAUUUUCAAUGGUCUUUAUUUGCACUAUUGUGUGUACAUACAAUAUCCGCAUUUGACAGAUGAACAGCAAACAUCCGCAGGUCUUUUUAUGACAUAUUUUUAAGAUUUUAUUUCAUGUACUCUUAUUGUAGCCUGUAUUUUGCAUUAAGAAUGUAUUGAAGCCGUCAGCGUCUCCAAGGUGACCUACAUGUGUGUAGUCCAAACUGGACAAUAUCAAUUCUGCAUCAAAUAUUUUAUUUUAAUUUUUUAAUAAAAG